rnacentral:rRNA from 1 species
GAUGAAGGUCUUAGGAUUGUAAAAUUCUUUCACCGGGGACGAUAAUGACGGUACCCGGAGAAGAAGCCCCGGCUAACUUCGUGCCAGCAGCCGCGGUAAUACGAAGGGGGCUAGCGUUGCUCGGAAUUACUGGGCGUAAAGGGAGCGUAGGCGGACUGUUUAGUCAGAGGUGAAAGCCCAGGGCUCAACCUUGGAAUUGCCUUUGAUACUGGCAGUCUUGAGUACGGAAGAGGUAUGUGGAACUCCGAGUGUAGAGGUGAAAUUCGUAGAUAUUCGGAAGAACACCAGUGGCGAAGGCGACAUACUGGUCCGUUACUGACGCUGAGGCUCGAAAGCGUGGGGAGCAAACAGGAUUAGAUACCCUGGUAGUCCACGCCGUAAACGAUGAGUGCUAGUUGUCGGCAUGCAUGCAUGUCGGUGACGCAGCUAACGCAUUAAGCACUCCGCCUGGGGAGUACG